rnacentral:rRNA from 1 species
CCAGACUCCUACGGGAGGCAGCAGUGGGGAAUAUUGCACAAUGGGGGAAACCCUGAUGCAGCGACGCCGCGUGGGUGAAGGAGCACCUCGGUGCGUAAAGCCCUAUCGGCAGGGAAGAAACAGACGGUACCUGACUAAGAAGCCCCGGCUAACUACGUGCCAGCAGCCGCGGUAAUACGUAGGGGGCAAGCGUUAUCCGGAUUCACUGGGUGUAAAGGGAGCGUAGACGGCGACGCAAGUCUGGAGUGAAAGCCCGGGGCCCAACCCCGGGACUGCUCUUGGAACUGCGUGGCUGGAGUGCAGGAGGGGCAGGCGGAAUUCCUGGUGUAGCGGUGAAAUGCGUAGAUAUCAGGAGGAACACCGGUGGCGAAGGCGGCCUGCUGGACUGCAACUGACGUUGAGGUUCGAAAGCGUGGGGAGCAAACAGGAUUAGAUACCCCCGUAC